GGGAUUUUGCGCUAUCAGCUGGAUAUAAGAUCGUUCGACGAGGUGUCGGAUGAGGACAUUUAUGAAGAUUCUGAUUAGGUAUCGGAGGAUCAAUGUGAUUCUGAUUAGAUGCUCAAUGAAAGUAAUAGCAGCAUGAACUAGUGGAUCUGAGUUGCGCUAGCGGAUGUUGACUGCGAAGUGGAGAUUUUGAGGUUCUAUAUGAGAUAUUGCUACUCAGAUAUGUGUUCGAUACAGUAUGUUUGAUCCAGUUUUUGGGCAUGGACAUACUUUGAUUUACUUUUCGUGUUGGUCUAGUAUUAUAUUAUGUGUGUUUGUAGUUCUUGAUUCUAUGUUCUGGAGUAUUAUGUUUGCUGUCUGGUGAUGAACCUGUGGUUUGAGUUAUUAUGAGAAGAAUUUGCAGUAAUGACAAUGAA
rnacentral:misc_RNA from 1 species